UCCCUGGUGGCUCAGUUGGUAGAGAAUCCGCCUGCAGUGUGGGAGACCUGGGUUCGAUUCCUGGGUUGGGAA
rnacentral:tRNA from 1 species